rnacentral:lncRNA from 1 species
ACCAUAUUUAUUUAAGGGCAAAGGAAAGCAAAUGAGGUUCUCAGUCACACACACAACGAUUUUAUUCUUUUCCUUUGGUGUUGUUUACAGUGUCUCCCACAAAAGGAGAGCUCCCCUUGGCAGAGAAGACAACGGGGUUCAUCGAACCGGAAGAACCCAGUGGCAAGAAUAAACUUCUGAACAGAAGGCCAAGGAGGCGUCAGCCGGAGCUUGCCCAUUUCUUGACCUUCAGGACUCAAGGUGGGAGAAGCCAGGGUUUUAAGUCUCAUUUGCAGGGAACACUCUGAGAGAUGGGGUAAGAUAAAACAUAUUGGUGAUGAAAUGUGUGUGUGUGUGUGUGUGACAGAGAAAGGGCCUAGCUAGGAACAGGGAGGGAGGAGGGAGUUUGUGAUGAUCAACAUGGUCGGGAGAACUCUUCUGGUGGGUGAGGAAGGUGACAGGAGGGACGGACAGACGCACUCAUUCUGUCCAAUCCUUCUUAAUGGCCAGGUUCCAUUCCCAGGUGAGGUGGUCCUGUUUGUCGUCAUCCGUGAAGAAGGACUUGUUGUGCUAAACCGAAAUCGAAGAGACCCAAUCACAAGACUUAACGCUGCCAAUGCAGG